UACAGAGGGGGCGAGCGUUUGUUCGGAAUUACUGGGCGUAAAGGGCGCGUAGGCGGCCAACUAAGUCAGACGUGAAAUCCCUCGGCUCAACCGGGGAACUGCGUCUGAUACUGGAUGGCUUGAAUUCGGGAGAGGGAUGCGGAAUUCCAGGUGUAGCGGUGAAAUGCGUAGAUAUCUGGAGGAACACCGGUGGCGAAGGCGGCAUCCUGGACCGAGAUUGACGCUGAUGCGCGAAAGCCAGGGGAGCAAACGGG
rnacentral:rRNA from 1 species